rnacentral:lncRNA from 10 species
CUCGGCUCACUGCAACCUCCGCCUCCCAGGCUCAAGUGAUUCUUGUGCCUCAGCCUCCCAAGUAGCUGGGACCAGCUAAUCUUUGUAUUUUUAGUAGAGACGGGGUUUCGCCAUGUUGGCCAGGCUGGUCUCAAACUCCUGGGCUGAAGUGAUCUGCCUGCCUCAGCCUCCCAAAGUGCUGGGAUUACAGGUGUGAGCCACCGCACCCAUCCAACAGUGUUUAUUUUGCCAUGAAUCUGUAAUCUGGGCAGGGCUUGUCAGGCCCAGCUUAUCUCUGCUUUGUCAGCUUCAGCUGGAGCUCCGGAAAAGUAAAGGGCUGGGAUCACCUAGAGCCCAUCCACUCCACAGGCCAGGUGUCCUGGACCUUCGCUGAAACACCUGCAGUAAUCUGUGCCUGCAGCUGGGGCUGCCUCACUGCACACGACUGGGUUCCAAGGGACAGAGGAAGGGAGAGAAAGAAAGCAAGAAGAGAUGGAGGCACGAGAGCUGGGCAGGCUGACCUGCCGAGUGGCCGCGGCGGACACUGUCCUAGAGAGCCGUCCAGACUCCCAGCAGACCUUGCAUUAGCACCAGCCAUCCUGGAUCUGUUGCCCUCACCAUGCUGAACCAUAAGCAAGCCUGUUGAAGACAGACAAACAGAUGCCUGGCCUGGUCCUCCCCGCCGCCCCCUCCCUGCUGCCCCCUGGACACUUGCUGCUCCAGUGUGCACCAUGGUGAGGGCACAGGGAGGCACCACCUGCAUAGAUCUCACAACAGCACAUGGAGAGCUCUGCGCCAGGCCUUGGGUGCUUCUGGAUUCCUUGCAGCUGGUGAUUAUUUCAGGCCCGCUGCUGCCUCUAGCCAUGGCUCUUCAAUGAACUUGUAUCGGAAGAGAUUUACUACUCUAACUAGAUCUGUAUCUCAAUUUAAUGAAAAUGUUAAGGAUACUUUGAU